rnacentral:lncRNA from 1 species
UUUGCUAGUCCUCGAGCAAAACAAAGAAACAAAACAACAACACAACGAAACAAAGCAAACAAAAACAACCUAAACCUUCCAACGUUUGCCUCAGGGAUUUCCAAUGCACAUGACAUAUUAAAAAUCAUCAUUCCCACAGAUUUUAGCCAUCUUUACACUUAAGCACAUACUUAAUUAUAGUCACCACGUACUAGUUCACAUUUAACCAAUUAAAACAUGAUUUUGAGUGCAGUAACAUGCCUUAGAGAAUUUGCUCAAUUCCUCACUAGAUAUGCACUCAAUUUUCACACAGAUUUUCUGACUACACACCCUAUACUAGUUAUAUGUGAGAGAUUGAUGUGAAAUAUAAAAACGAGUUACUCACAUAUGUUUAUAACAAGGAAAGCUUUUUCUGAAUUAAUAAGCAUGUAUAUGAUCUCAUGAAAGGAAUGCUACUACUUAGACGCGAGAACCAGUGACACCAUAUGCUCAUACCAAUCCCAAACUCCACAAAUUGAAAUACACAACACUCAAGAUAGAAGUUAAGGGUUGUAACGGGGCUCGGGGGUAUUGGCUAACAAAGAAAGGUGAAGGAUAAACAAACGUUCUUAAAACAAUAGUAAGCAAAGCAAUGAAAUUGACACUUAGAAUUCACUUUUGAAUGCAAAAAUCAACUUUUAAACUCAAAGGGGAAAUUCAUGUAACACUUAGGGUCAAAUUCAAUGUUUUGGACCCUUUCUUCAACAACCAACACCUUAGAGCUUAUUUUCAUGCUCUUUCACUCUUUUCCACACUUUUCACAACAUUUUUCUUUUUUUCUUCUUUUUUUCUACGAAAUUUUUUUUUUUUCUUUUCUUUCUCUUUUCUACCCCAUGCCUCAUUUAAGACUUUGGCACACAAUACACAAGGCUCACUUUCCCCCACACUUGUUUUCUGCACACCCUCGAUCAAAAGGAAUUCAUUUUAAGUCAUGCUUACUAUGCUUCAAGAACAAGGGUAUGGAUGGUCCUAAUCUAGG